GAUGAACGCUGGCGGCGUGCCUAAUACAUGCAAGUCGAGCGAACAGACGAGGAGCUUGCUCCUCUGACGUUAGCGGCGGACGGGUGAGUAACACGUGGAUAACCUACCUAUAGACUGGGAUAACUUCGGGAAACCGGAGCUAAUACCGGAUAAUAUAUUGAACCGCAUGGUUCAAUAGUGAAAGACGGUUUUGCUGUCACUUAUAGAUGGAUCCGCGCCGCAUUAGCUAGUUGGUAAGGUAACGGCUUACCAAGGCGACGAUGCGUAGCCGACCUGAGAGGGUGGUCGGCCACACUGGAACUGAGACACGGUCCAGACUCCUACGGGAGGCAGCAGUAGGGAAUCUUCCGCAAUGGGCGAAAGCCUGACGGAGCAACGCCGCGUGAGUGAUGAAGGUCUUCGGAUCGUAAAACUCUGUUAUUAGGGAAGAACAAAUGUGUAAGUAACUAUGCACGUCUUGACGGUACCUAAUCAGAAAGCCACGGCUAACUACGUG
rnacentral:rRNA from 1 species